rnacentral:rRNA from 1 species
CCUACGGGAGGCAGCAGUGAGGAAUAUUGGUCAAUGGGCGAGAGCCUGAACCAGCCAAGUCGCGUGAGGGAGUACUGCCCUAUGGGUUGUAAACCUCUUUUGUCGGGGAGCAAAAGCCGGACGUGUCCGGCUGUGAGAGUACCCGAAGAAAAAGCAUCGGCUAACUCCGUGCCAGCAGCCGCGGUAAUACGGAGGAGGCGAGCGUUAUCCGGAUUUAUUGGGUUUAAAGGGUGCGCAGGCGGAUGUUUACGUCAGCGGUAAAAGCGUGGGGCUAAACCCCAUCCAGCCGUUGAAACUGGGGGGCUAGAGUGUGCGAGAGGUAUGCGGAAUGCGUGGUGUAGCGGUGAAAUGCAUAGAUAUCACGCAGAACACCGAUGGCGAAGGCAGCUUGCUAGACCGGAUCUGACACUGAUGCACGAAAGCGUGGGGAGCGAACAGGAUUAGAUACCCGAGUAGUC